AGAACAUAGAAACAUUUAGGGCUUGUUCGGUUAGCUCUCAAUCUAUGUGAAUUGAGUGAGAUUGGAUGGGUUUGAAUCCCAAACAAGUCAAACUUUUUCUUAAUUUUUUCCAAUCUCAUCCAAUCCAUGUGUAUUGUGAAUAACCGAACAAGUCCUUAUGUGAGUUAUAUGGUUAGAACCGUAUCUAGAAAAUAAUGCUAGAGACGGUCCUUCACUAAGAUAUCAUCUCUUAUAUGGGUUGUACAUGCCCUUAUCAACCCACGGUUAAGUCGGUUUUUGUCUCAUCCGGGUUGAUCAGGGCGAGUUUUGAAAUUGCCUACAGCACAACAUGCAGUGCAGGUCGUCCCUGUACCGUGGGGAUCACUUGUACAGGGUUUUGCGCUGGGUUUGGACUGAUUCUACGCUACUGGUAAUAACCACUGUUUUCUUUUGCUGUGGAGGAUGGGACCAUGUGUAGCCAGCCUUUUUAUCUUUCUUCACCUCGCUAGUCGCUACUAGUCAUAUAGCGUUCAAAAGAUAGCUUUAGCUUGUGUUUCCCUCAUUUGAACCGUCAAUGAUUGCGAUACGGCCCAAGCUGUCAGUUACUCUGCCUCCUCGGCGCGGGUGGUCCAGUGGGUCCUGGGCCUGGGCCCAAAGAGUUGGAGCUUUUCGUUAGUUCUGUUUGUUGUUGCUCAUCUAGUCAUCUGAGACGUGGGCCCGCGAGAGAUGCUUUGCUUGAACAUCUUCAAAUUGUUUUGUUUUUUUGCUGGACUUGCACUUCAUGCAUACGCGUCUUGUCUGCAUGGCUGCAUCUCGUUCAACAAAUGUACAGUGCUGGUCACUUGACUUGAAAAAUGGUGAUGCCGUUACCGUAGCCGCACCUUAUUGUUUUGGGAUGAACGAUUCGCUGUCAAUGGGAAACUUUGAAUACACAUGCCCAAAAAACAAUUUGCCCUGCACAUUAGAAACUGCAAGGAGGUAAAAUUCAU
rnacentral:lncRNA from 7 species